rnacentral:rRNA from 1 species
UACGUAGGGGGCGAGCGUUGUCCGGAUUUAUUGGGCGUAAAGAGCUCGUAGGCGGUUGGGCAAGUCACGUGUGAAAUCUCCACGCUCAACGUGGAGGCGCCACGUGAGACUGCCCUGACUCGAGUCCGGUAGGGGAGCGUGGUAUUCCCGGUGUAGCGGUGAAAUGCGCAGAGAUCGGGAGGAACACCCGUAGCGAAGGCGGCGCUCUGGGCCGGUACUGACGCUGAGGAGCGAAAGCGUGGGGAGCAAACAGG